rnacentral:rRNA from 1 species
UACGUAGGUCCCGAGCGUUGUCCGGAUUUAUUGGGCGUAAAGCGAGCGCAGGUGGUUUAUUAAGUCUGGUGUAAAAGGCAGUGGCUCAACCAUUGUAUGCAUUGGAAACUGGUAGACUUGAGUGCAGGAGAGGAGAGUGGAAUUCCAUGCGUAACGGUGAAAUGCGUAGAUAUAUGGAGGAACACCGGUGGCGAAAGCGGCUCUCUGGCCUGUAACUGACACUGAGGCUCGAAAGCGUGGGGAGCAAACAGG